rnacentral:rRNA from 1 species
GAUGAACGCUGGCGGCGUGCCUAAUACAUGCAAGUCGAGCGAAGCGGGGACGGGUGAGUAACACGUGGAUAACCUCCUCUAAGACUGGGAUAACUUACGGAAACCGGUGCUAAACCGGAGACUCAUGUCUGGAUCCGCGCUGCAUUAGCUAGUGGGUAAGGUAACGGCUUACAAAGGCGACGAGGCAUAGCCGACCUGAGAGGGGGAUCGGCCACACUGGAACUGGGCCACGGUCCAGAGUCCUACGGGAGGGAGCAGUAGGGAAUCGUCCGCAACGGGCGAAAGCCUGACGGAGCAACGCCGCGUGAGUUAUGAAGGUCCUCGGAUCGUAAAACUCUGUUAUGAGGGAAGCGGUACCUAAUCAGAAAGCCACGGCUAACUACGUGCCAGCAGCCGCGGUAAUUC